rnacentral:tRNA from 1 species
CAGGGAGACAACAAAAUGUUUAAUAUUAUUAUUUUGUCACCUUAGGUCGAUCGGUAUCUCACAUCCUUAAUUUAUUAAGGAUUUCAUUUCCUAAGUUUUUCUAGGUCACACCCAUUUCUUUUCCUGGGCCAUUAGCUCAGGUGGUUAGAGCGCACCCCUGAUAAGGGUGAGGUCCCUGGUUCAAGUCCAGGAUGGCCCAUAUCUCUAUGUUGGGGGUAUAGCUCAGUUGGUAGAGCGCCUGCUUUGCAAGCAGGAUGUCAGCGGUUCGAGUCCGCUUACCUCCACUGAUUUCCACCUCUUCCAUAAUCUGUAAGAAGGAAAAAAUUUUGAGUGGUGACCAAAUUCUGAACGAAUCUAACUUCCUAAUGAAAUCAUUAAGAUGCUGGACUCAUUGAAUUAAUUUCAUUGUUUUCAGAGAACCUUGACAACUGCAUAGAUUAUUUUAAAGACAAUAAGCAUCUUUAACGAUGCAGAUUUAUUAUUUGUGCGAAUGCAUUAAUAACAAUUCUAUUAAGCUGAUGCUUCAAUUUUUGAAGUUAUU